UACGUAGGGGGGCUAGCGUUAUCCGGAAUCAUUGGGCGUAAAGAGCGUGUAGGCGGCCCGGUAAGUCCGCUGUGAAAGUCGGGGGCUCAACCCUCGAAUGCCGGUGGAUACUGUCGGGCUAGAGUGCGGAAGGGGCAACUGGAAUUCUCGGUGUAGCGGUGAAAUGCGUAGAUAUCGAGAGGAACACCUGCGGCGAAGGCGGGUUGCUGGGCUGAUACUGACGCUGAGGCGCGAAAGCCAGGGGAGCGAACGGG
rnacentral:rRNA from 1 species